UACGUAGGGGGCAAGCGUUGUCCGGAAUCAUUGGGCGUAAAGAGCGUGUAGGCGCCUGAUAAGUCGGCUGUGAAAGUCAAGGGCUCAACCCUUGAAUGCCGGCCGAUACUGUCAGGCUAGAGUCCGGAAGAGGCGAGUGGAAUUCCUGGUGUAGCGGUGAAAUGCGCAGAUAUCAGGAGGAACACCGAUGGCGAAGGCAGCUCGCUGGGACGGUACUGACGCUGAGGCGCGAAAGCGUGGGGAGCAAACAGG
rnacentral:rRNA from 1 species